CUGCGAGCUGCAUAAGCGUCCGAGAGGGUGGGAGUCGACGCCCAGGAGAUCAGCUACGAGGUACCCGGGUUGCCAGGUGGCUGGCGCUCGCCAAGGUGGCCAACACAGGAUCAGUGAACGAGUACCAGGUCCAUGAACAAGACAUCGACAUGCUCCAUGUAACACAUGAUCAAACUAUAGGAAGGCUCUGCGAUGAUCUACCCGACCGAGCAAAAUCCACAUUAUCUGAAUAUUCACUUGGACUGCUCAAUUUAUAUGCCUUGUUAUCAUGUUGCACGGGAUCACUAAAUGUUUGAAGGAGUGCUUUCUCAGACAGUUUGUUUGUUUGUCCUUAAAUGAUGUACUGGGUCAAAUGUUCUGCCAGGGAAUGAGGAUAGUGUAUCUGAGAACAAAAACGAUGGUGAAUAUGUGCGGAAAUACGAAGACAAGGAUGGAGAUUGGAUGCUGGUUGCUGAAGUCCCAUGGGAGUAAUUACACUGUCUGGUGUACUCAAAAAAAUCCCUAACGAAGGGAGUAAUUGCUAAAAACAAGUAUAGAAAGGAGAACUUUAGAAGAUUGUUUGGAUUCUAUAGUAAACCUGUAAUGAAUGAUCAAUUAUAAGAGUGUGCCAAUUUUUUUAUUGUAA